rnacentral:misc_RNA from 1 species
GUGAAUCAUCAAAUUUUUGAACGCAAAUUGCGCCUUUUUGGGAAGGGAUGACUAUGUGAGGGCACCAGUUAACAAAUAAUGUGAAUUUCGUGUGGACACGGUGAUGAGCAUUCCAAAAUUAUGUAUUAUUAUUUUUGGUGGCGCAUAAUAAACAGCGCGAUGGUUGAUUUCAGUUCGAGUGUAGUAAAAUUGUUUCUUGCUUGGGUUGUGAAAAGCGUGAUCGCGCAAUGGGUGUGGCAGUGUGAGUUAAUCCGUGCCCGAAGGCAACUCU